rnacentral:misc_RNA from 1 species
AGCUCUGCGUGCCCGGCUUUCCACCGCGACGCACCACUCACCCUCUUUCCUCGAAUAACUGAGUAUAACCUCUUUUAUCCCGUUUCUUCGCCAGACCAUCAUGACGUCCGUGUACAACUUCAAGGCAAUCACCGUCGUCCCGACGUACAAGGACUUCAUGGACAUUGUCCUGUCCAAGACGCAGCGCAAGACGCCGACGGUGGUGCACAAGGGCUACCACAUCUCCCGCAUUCGCCAGUUCUACAUGCGCAAGGUCAAGUUCACGCAGAAGACCAUCAAUGAGAAGCUCACCUACAUCCUUCAGGAGUUCCCGCGCAUGGAUGACAUUCACCCCUUCUACGGCGAUCUCAUGCACGUCCUAUACGACCGCGAUCACUACAAGGUGGCGCUGGGUCAGGUGGGCGCGGUUCGCCACAUGGUGGACAACAUUGGUCGCGAUUACGUGCGUCUGCUCAAGUACGGCGACUCUCUAUACCGCUGCAAGCAGCUGAAGCGCGCUGCCCUCGGCCGCAUGGCGACGGCGUGCAAGAAGCUCAAUAGCGCGCUCGCCUACUUGGAGAAGGUGCGUCAGCACAUGUCUCGCCUCCCCUCCAUCGACCCGAACGCGCGCACGCUGCUCGUGACGGGCUUCCCGAACGUGGGCAAGUCCAGCUUUAUGAACAAGGUCACGCGCGCUGAUGUGGAGGUGCAGCCGUAUGCCUUCACCACCAAGUCGCUCUUUGUCGGUCACACGGACUACAAGUACACUACGUGGCAGGUGAUUGACACCCCUGGCAUCCUAGACCACUCUCUGGAGGAGCGCAACGUCAUCGAGAUGCAGGCGAUCACCGCACUGGCUCACCUCCGUGCCUGCAUCCUCUUCUUCAUGGACCUGAGCGGCCAGUGCGGCUACUCCGUUGAGCAGCAGGUCUCUCUCUUUAAAUCUGUUGGCCCUCUGUUCACUGGGAAGCCGGUUGUCGUCGUCUUCAACAAGUGCGACGUGUGCACCAUCGACGAUGUCUCGCCGGCGGAACAGGAGCUUAUCAUGGACGCCAUUCAGGAGGCGGACGCAAAGUGGAUUACGACUAGCACACUCACGGACGUCGGCGUCGGCGACCUCAAGACCGUCGCCUGCGACAUGCUUCUCGCCCACCGCUCGGAGCAGAAAGAGGGCUCUGGCCGCUACCAGGCGAUUCAGAACCGCCUCUACUGUGCCACUCCAAAGCAGCGCGAUGAGCUGGAGCGCCCCGCCUUUGUGCCGGCGUCGGUGCUGCAGGAGCGCGCCACGGGCGAGCCGCCGAGGCAGCGCCGCAAGACAGAGCGCGACUACGAGUGGGAGAAUGGCGGUCCGGGCCAGUAUCAGAGGAACGAGCGCAAGACAUGGGAUCUGGAGAACCCGGAGUGGGUCGACGAUAUCAUUCCCGACAUCAUGGAUGGCCACAACAUCUACGACAAUAUUGACCCUGACAUCCACCAGCGCCUGCUAGAGCUAGAGGCGGAGGAGGAGGCGCGGCUGGAAGAUCUUGAGCUGGAGGCGUCCCGCAAGCACGAGCAGUACACACUGGACAGCGAUACCCUUGAGGCGGUGAAGUUCAUUAAGGACAAGAUAAAGGUGCUGAAGAUGGAGCGCGCCAUGAAGAAUCCUGCCAUCCGGCGUACGCACAGCCAGGCGAUGGCCAUCGACAAGUUCAACAAACGCACCGGCAGUCAGGACGCCAGGGCGAAGUCCAUCGCGGACGGCAGCGGCGAGGUGCCUACUCGCAAGCGUGGCCGUUCCAUGUCUGUCGCGCAGGAGGCACUGAUCCGCGACCGCUCCAGCUCUGCCCACGUUAGCACCAAGACGACUCGUAGCAUUAGCGGCACAUGUGCUAGUCGUGAACGCAGCAUGAGCGUCAACCGCGGCGACGGCUACCGUGAUGUGAACGAGAAGCUGCGCGCCGUGAAGCUGAGCAAAGUAAAGGCGCGUCCGCUGGCCCGCCAGGCACGGAAGGGCGAGGGCGACCACCACAUUCCGAACCUCCGCCCUAUGCAUUUGUUCACGGGUAAGGUGAAGAGCAACGGCGCUCGCGACCGGCGUUAAGCGUGCGGGGUGCGACUGCUGAGGUGAGAUAGAUGGCAACACAGGGAGGGGGAGGUGACGAGGAGGUGACGUGAUUAUCUCUGCAGCGAGCAUCAUGGAUGGCCACACCAUUAGUGCCGUGAUGCUUCUCCUUUCCUCGCACUGGCUGUACCUCAUUCACCGUUCUACUUAGUCUUUAUUGCACCGCUGCCCCACGCUUCCCCCUCGCUUACCGGUGCUAGCCUGACGAGCGGCCCUCAUCGACUUCGUUCCCUUUCGCCUCCUUUUUUUUCGGUUGUGCUUCUUUCGUUUCUUAUCUGCUGUUUGUACUGUUGCCCUUUCUCUUCUUCCCUCCUCACCGCUUCCCUGUGCCCCCAUUCUCUGGCGCACAACUCGUUCUCUCUAUUGCUCUCUCGUGGAUUUCGCUGCUGACAUGUACGCGCCACGCUCAUUUCGAUUCUCUUUGGCACCUGCUUGCCGCUUGAGAAGCGAGGAAGGAAGGAGAGCGGACGAAGGGGGGGGGCGGGAAGGGAACGCAACAUUGUGGGGAUUUGGGGAGGUGAAAGAAGGGGAGGGGGACGAUACUCCACUUCGUUGAGGGAGACGCGCAUUUGUACAUGUACGUGUGGCACUUGCGUUUUCUCUCCUUUUUUUUAUGCUUGUGUGUGUGCGUGUGUGUGGUGGUGGUGGUGGGGAUGUUGUUGUCCCUUCCCCUGUGCUUUCGUGGUGAAAGCGCUGUUGGCUCGCACCGAUGAAAGGCGACGGCCUCGCCGUCAGCGGCGCAUUAAAGGCGAAGAAAGGGCUGAUUUCUCUCUGCCCCACUCGAAUAACACCGACGUAACUUUUUUUUUAUACUUUGCCUUCCGUUUUCUUCGUGUUUCCGCGCGUAUGUGUUAGCGCAAUGUAUGCGCUCCCAUUGCUUCAUGCGUUCACGGCAAGGCAGAAGGGAGCCGAAUAAUGGCAUCAACAGCUCAGUACUAGCAGGCACAUACGCACUCACGCACCCACAGGUGGAAGCGGGGACGAUGCGGAAGCAUGAGGCUCGGAAGCCGCCUUUUCUUCUUGUUUCUUUCUUUUUGUUUGUUCAUUUUAAGUCAUGUAAUGCACACUCUCGAGGCGAUUUUCUGUGCGUAACCGUGGGCGUACGAACAACGCAAGGAAAGCUGUGUAAGCACUUUAAAUGCAAAAAAAAACAAUAAUGCAGCAACGGGACAUGGAGAGGAGCACGCACACACGCGGCCGGGCCGACAGCUGUUUCCCUACUAGCGUACAUGCUCAGGACCUAAAAUGUGUGCUGGUUGGCUGGACAGGUGUGCGUACGGCAACGCCGGCUCCUCACCCUCUCUCCCUCCCAAGUAAAACACUUCCCCUUGCAGCUUUGCUGAUGCUGGUAGAGAGGCACCUCUUGUCUGGGUAGAUGAACGAAGCGAGGCCGGUGGGCGCUGAGGGCAGGCAUGGGGGCGUUUCACCGCCCUUUAUCAUUUUUUUUCUCGUUCUGUCUAAACUCAACUUUGGUCGCGCAGGCGUCGGCCAGCUUACCGAUGUCACCCUCCCCCCUCUACCUAUCGCUCCCCUUCUCCUCCGACGCCCUUCUCCGUUUCUACACUCGCUGUUUUCCGUACGCGCUCAG